rnacentral:rRNA from 1 species
CAGCCGUAAACUAUGCUCGCUAGGUGUCAGGCAUGGCGCGACCGUGUCUGGUGCCGCAGGGAAGCCGUGAAGCGAGCCACCUGGGAAGUACGGCCGCAAGGCUGAAACUUAAAGGAAUUGGCGGGGGAGCACCACAACAGGUGGAGCCUGCGGUUUAAUUGGACUCAACGCCGGAAAUCUCACCGGAUAAGACAGCAGAAUGAUUGCCGGGCUGAAGACUCUGCAUGACUAGCUGAGAGGAGGUGCAUGGCGUAGACGUCU